AGCAAGCGGGAAGCAGCAGCACAUGUGUUUGUGAGUUUUGAAAAGUUCCACCGGCAAGCAUUCAGUGUUGUGCGGCUUGUGUGUUCGGACAGCAGACAACCAGCAUCUUGGUCCAGCCAAGUCUUCUGAACGCCGCCUUAGCGCACAGUGCAAUGACUUAUCGCAGCAGUUGGUGAGAGUGCCGUACUGUUCUUCUGUUCGUCUUUACCAUCAUGGGUGCAUUCGGGAAAGACACCCCCAGACUCGCGUGGUUGUGCUUGAUCGCAACUUUUUGCUUCCUAAUACUCGACCACUCCGUAUAUCAGGUGUCUGCUGAGUCUAAGGUGGACUCAGAUUUAGUUUUUGAAAAUUUAGAACAAACAGAUUUAGCAAAUCAUGAAAAUCAUCAUAGGAUAGCAAGAGAUCUAUCCGACAGCGAGGAACAUUUGUUAGAGUCUAGUCCACCAGUGGAAGAACACUGGUUAUCAAGCACUGUAAAUAGGAUAAGAAGAAGUAUUAAUAGUUUGCUGUCAUCUCAGUCUAAUAGAAGUCAUAGUAGAAGUAAAAGAAAAUUAUUAAGAGUUCCUAGACAAGACACGCCGGAGGGUCAGCAAGAAGCUAAAGAAGAUUACGACGAGGAAGAAGAAGAUCCUCAAGAUUUUAAUGAUCUAGAAGAUGCAGAAAACGAUAAUGGGGAUAACGAAUAUGAUGAUAACACCGGUGAUAAUGAAUACGAUGAGGAAAACGGAGAAGAAAUAGGGAAUGGUGAAGACUAUAAUGAGGAAGAUGGAAACGAGGAUGCAGAAGGGUAUGACGAUGUGGAGCAAACUGAAGACAAUACUGAGGAUGAAGUACCGGAAGAAGAAUAUUCUCCAAGUUUAAAUAAUAACGAAACAACAGAAUCAACCGCCAACACAAUAACUGAAUCUCCACAAGUGAAUUACUUUUCGACCGAAAAUGGAGACGGCGUCAAUCGGAUGGGUUUUGACCUCUUCAAGCCUGAUACUGCCUACAAUCGUUCCAUUCCAGAAACUCGCAAUGAAACUCAAUUUGGAUAUGACGAUGAAGAUAAUCUUAUUACUUCCGGCGAAGGAAGCACAGACGGCACCUCUGUACCACAUAUCCCAGUACCACAUCACCCUGUAUAUUACCGCAUUUCAUUUACCGUCAGUGAACCAUACGUGGACGCCUUCAGCGACCGCAAUAGCUUCAGAUAUCGAGACUUCAGUGAAGAUCUUAUUAGGGAAAUCGACAGAUUAUAUCAAAGUAUUCCCGGAACACAAUCAGCUACAGUUAUUAAAAUAGAGAAACGGGAAGCUGAUGCUUUCACGUCAAAAGUAACAAUCGAUUUGGGAAGUGAUGGUUAUAUUAACGAUGAAAUCAUAAAAGAUGUUCUUUACAGCCAGAUAACGAACAACCACAGAUUGGGAAAAACCACCGUUUUACCCGAGGACUUCCAGUUUAGAGUUUUUGAAGCUUCAACAAAUGUUAUGUGUGAUGUGAAUGAAAUACCUUGCCACUCUGGGGAAUGCGUACCUUCUGAGGCACGCUGCAACGGAAAUUUUGAAUGCGCAGAUCAUUCAGAUGAGGCUGGAUGUGAAAUUUUCGCCGAAACUUCUUCAACUACAACAUUAGACGAUCUUGAUCUUGGCAGUGGUCUACCUGAUGAAGGACGAUCUCCGGAAUCAAAAUGUCGCGCUGAUGACAUUGUUCGGUGUGCAGAUGGCUCGCCAUCAAUUUGUGCAGAUCAAGUCUGUGACGGAGUCAAAGAUUGCGCCGAUGGAGGAGAUGAAAAAAAUUGUUCUUCUGAUUGUGCCAAAGGUGAAAUCAGCUGUGACAUAACUAGAUGUAUUCCCGAGAGCAAACGCUGUGAUGGUAUGAAAGACUGUCAAGACGACACAGACGAAAGAGAUUGCAUUGUCUGCCGAGACGACGAAAUAAAAUGUGACAAUAAGUGCAUUCCUCUGAACAAACGCUGCGAUGGGACAGCAGAUUGCAGUAAUCGAGCCGACGAGCUGAAUUGCCCAGCAGAGGCCCAGUGCAGACACGAUGAGUUCCUCUGCCAUGGUUCCAGCCAAUGCAUCCCGUUGCAACAACGCUGCGAUGGCAACAGGAAUUGUCCCAAUAACGAAGACGAAACCGACUGCUCCGUGCGAUGCGGUGCUGACCAAUUCACUUGUCAAAAUGGAGCUUGUAUCCCGAUAUCAGCAAAAUGCGAUUCAAAGUACGAUUGCCAAGAUUUGUCCGACGAACGAAAUUGUCCGUGCAAACCGACGGAUUUCCAAUGCAACAAUGGAGUUUGUAUCCUUCCCCACCUACGAUGUAACGGAGUUCAUAACUGUCAGGACAAAUCUGACGAAAUAGGAUGUCCUAGUAGCCCUAGACCAGGAACUCCUGAUUACAAGUAUUGCACUUCCGAUCAGUUUAAAUGUAAAGAGGGUACUUGCAUUAGUUUGUCGAAACGCUGCGACGGGAAAUUCGAUUGUGGUCAAGGGGAGGAUGAGCUAUCUUGCGCUUUAUGCCGUUCUGACCAAUUCAGAUGCGCAAAUGGUGAUUGUAUUGAUGCGCAGCAUCAUUGUGACUAUAAAAACGAUUGUCCGGAUGGUAGUGAUGAAAAAAAUUGCAAUGGUUAUCCGCUGAGUAAAUGUCCAGAAGGUACAUUUGAGUGUGCUGCCGGUUUUUGUAUCAUGGGCUACAAAAGAUGUAACGGUAUAAAAGACUGCCCUAGUGGCAACGACGAAGACGGUUGCCCAACAACCAUAACACCUGUAACACCCGAGCCAUCAUGUGCUUCAAGCGAGUUUCGUUGCAACGACGGCCGUUGUAUCGAUAUAAGCUACCGAUGCGACGACAUACCAGACUGUCGAGAUAAAUCUGACGAGAUAAAUUGUUAUUCCGCUGGUGCUUGUGCCACAGACGAGGUUCUGUGCAACGAUGGUUCAUGCGUGAGUGGGAAAAAGUGCGAUCGUUCGUUCGACUGUCCUGAUGGUUCCGACGAAAGCGGAUGCAGUUUUUGCACACCUGAUCAGUUCCCUUGUCAAGGCGGGGGCUGUAUCGCUGAACAUUUGCGUUGUGACGGUACAAUACAUUGCUCUGACGGGUCCGAUGAGCGAAACUGCGUUUUCACGUGUCCAGAAGACCAGUUUCGGUGUGGUAACGGAGUAUGCUUAGAUAAUCGACGUGUUUGCGAUACACAUCCUGAUUGCCCUGAUGGUUCCGACGAACAGAAUUGCACUGGACCACUACCUGGCCCUGAUGAUAAGAGAUGUCUCCCUAGUCAAUUCGAUUGUGGAGAUUCUUCUUGCAUUAACUCUGAGUUUCGUUGCGAUGGAUAUCAGGACUGUAAGAACGGACGGGAUGAAAUGGAAUGCAGUUCCACUUACUGCCAUGAAGAAGAUGAAUUCCGCUGCAGUGACGGCACUUGCAUUCCGAAUUCUGCGUUUUGUGACGGCGUCCGCCACUGCAGGGACGGCAGUGACGAGCUUGAUUGUCCGCCGCCUCCGAGCAUAUGUACAGUUAAUGAAUUCCAAUGCGAUAACGGCGAGUGCAUCCCCAAUUACCUGCGCUGCGACGGAGUGUCCGAGUGUCCCGACCGAUCGGACGAAAGAGAAUGUCAAUGCCGUACAGAUCAAUUCCAGUGUUCGAAUGGAACUUGCAUAGCCGGUAAUUUACGUUGUAACAGAAGGAAUGACUGUAGUGACGGUUCUGAUGAGUUUAAUUGCCCAACUCAACCACCGCCAUUUGUAACAGAACAACCACUGCCACCGAGACCGCCCCAAAUCACCUGUUCGCCAGGCACUCAGCCAUGCCACAGUGGGGACAGAUGCAUUCUUCAUUCCCAAUUUUGCGACGGCAGAGUCGAUUGCAACGACAUGUCCGACGAAACCAACUGUCAACCCAAGCGCGAAGGGGCUUGCUCACGCGGCCAAUUUCGGUGCGAAAACGGCCCUUGCAUCCGAGAGGAAUUGCGAUGUGACGGAAAGGUGGAUUGUCCGAGAGAUUCUAGCGAUGAGCUAGAUUGUCCAACGCGCUAUCCUGGGCCUAGCGAGGGGCUUAACUUAAGGACCUAUCCCAGCUCCCAAGAAAUUAAAGAAAACAUUUAUAAACCUGAUCGAGAAGUCGUCUUCCAAUGCAGAGAUGAGGGUCCAUUUAGAGCCAGAGUGCGCUGGACGCGACCCAACGGAGAACCAUUACCUCCAGGGUCCAGAGACCACAAUGGUCGACUUGAAAUACCCAACAUUAAAGUGGAACACAGCGGAACAUACACGUGUGAAGCCGUUGGCUAUCCUCCCAACACACCCGGAGCUCACGUCUCAGUGCACCUCCAAGUCGACCGAUGGAUUCCACCACCAAUCCGCCCACCAACAGCUUGUGCCCUCCACGAAGCCACUUGUUCAAACGGCGACUGCAUCCCCAAACAUCAAGUCUGUGAUGAGAAAUACGACUGCACCGACGGUUCCGACGAAAACCGUUGCAACCCCAACGGCUGCGAACCGAACGAAUUCCGCUGUGCCAACAAGAAGUGCGUUUUGAAGACCUGGAGAUGCGAUUCGGACGAUGAUUGCGGCGACGGCUCCGACGAAGAAAACUGCGCCACAAACCCUCCCGGAUCCCUGUGCGCCUACCACCAAUUCGCAUGCCAUUCCAACAACCAAUGCAUUCCACGAAGCUACCACUGUGAUCUGGAACGCGAUUGUAUCGAUGGUAGCGAUGAAAUCGGUUGUUCGAUACCCGUGGUCUCUAAACCUCCACCACCGAUGGUCAACCUCGAGGUUGGCUCAACUUUCGAAAUUACUUGCACGGCAGUCGGUGUUCCCACACCUGAGAUUGUGUGGCGUUUGAACUGGGGCCACAUUCCGCCCAAGUGCCGCACUACCAGCGAUAACGGCUUUGGGACGCUUUCUUGUCCCAACAUCCAAGUGGAAGAUCAAGGCGCGUAUUCUUGCGAAGUUAUCAAUAUCAAGGGGACUGUUUUUGCGAUCCCGGACACUAUUCUAGUCAUCAAUCAAAAUACUGUCUGUCCUGCUGGCUACUUUAAUGAGGAAGCUAGAAGUCAGGCCGAAUGCAUCAAGUGUUUCUGUUUCGGGCAGUCCACCAAGUGUCGUUCCGCAGACUUGUUUAUUUACCAUUUCCAACCGCCGUUCGAUACUUUAAAACUCUUGGGUGUUCGCAUUGAUUCGAACACAGGGGUGAUUGAUAUUAGGGAUGAACCAAUUUACCGAAAUGCACAACCUCAGUUGACGGGACUUGGCAGAAAUGGUGUUCACGCCCAGUUACCACCAUAUGGUCAAAUCAGCUCGAGCGACCUCGUGCCAUACUUUGCCAUGCCGGAGAACUACCACGGAAAUCAACUGAAGAGUUAUGGUGGAUAUCUGAGGUUUACGGUGCGACAUUACAAUCGAGGAUAUACCAUAGCAGGACCUACAGUUAUUCUCACUGGUAAUGGUUACACGUUACUGAGCAGACACAACAUUAGCCCGCCCUCAAACCGCGACGAACAGAUCGAAGUCCGAUUCUUUGAGGGCGAAUGGGUGAAACGUUCGGACCGUCAACUAGAAACACCAGCAACGCGCGAAGAAAUAAUGAUGGCUUUGGCCGAAGUUGACAACAUUUUAAUUAAAUUGCAAUACAAUGAAGGUCCACUUAACACCACAAUCACCAACAUAGAAAUGGACUCUGCGGGGGCACCCAACAGUGGUCUAGGCCCAGCGUCGUACGUGGAAGAGUGCGAAUGUCCUGUUGGUUACAGCGGAUCGUCUUGUGAGCGUUGCGCUGAUGGAUUUGUGCGUCACAAGACCGGCCCCUGGCUUGGACAAUGUUACCGCGUCCAACCACAACCAUGUCCUCCAGGAACUUACGGAGAUCCGUCACGGGGAAGACCGUGUGAGAUUUGCCCAUGUCCUCUCACAAGUCCCAGCAAUCAGUUUGCCAGAACUUGUUCACUGGGGUCCGAUGGUGAGGUUACUUGUGACUGUCCACCGGGAUAUGUCGGGAGACGCUGCGAACAGUGUGCUCCUGGUUAUUCUGGAAAUCCUCUGAUUCCGGGUGAUUCGUGCCGGGCUUCCUCGUAUUGCAAUUCGGAAGGGACAAGUCUUGAAGAGCAAGGAAGGUGUCGGUGCAAAGAUUACGUUGAUGGUCCGACUUGUGACACCUGCAAGGCUAACACCUUCCAUCUCAGCGGAGAAAACCAAUUCGGGUGUAUCGCCUGCUUCUGCAUGGGUGUCACAAGACAGUGUAGCAGUUCUACAUGGUUCAGGGACCAAAUCAGUACUACUUUUACAAGUUCGCGUGACCAUUUCACUCUUAUUGAUACCGAAAGAAGAGAAGAACCCAUCACAGACGCAAUCAGACUGGAUCAAAAUCAACGCGAAAUUUCCUAUAGCAGUUUCUCCAACCCCAACGUCCAUUACUGGUCACUUCCUCGUCGUUACUUAGGAAAUAAAAUAGCUUCGUACGGUGGUUACUUAAAGUACACGUUACGCUACGUUCCUUUACCGGGUGGCCAGAUAUCUAGGAAUUCGGCUGCUGAUGUAGAACUCGUCAGUGCCAAUGAAAUAACUUUAUUGUACUACGCAAGGGAACAAUCUCAACCGACUGGAUCGCCGCAAACUUUCGUAGUUCCAUUAUUGGAGCAAUACUGGCAACGUAGCGACGGCCAAAAGGCCGACCGUGAGCACUUGCUAAUGGCUUUGGCCGAUUUGAAUGCCAUUUAUAUCAAAGCGACUUACAAUACCAACACUCGAGAGUCGGCAUUGAUUUCGGUGUCUCUGGAUACGGCAAACGAAUACAACACUGGAUCCAGCGAGCGCGCUUUAGCCGUUGAACAGUGCCGCUGUCCGGAGGGCUACACGGGUUUGUCUUGUGAAGACUGCGCCGUUGGAUACACCCGAGCUGAAGAAGGAAUCUACCUUGGAAUUUGCGAACCUUGCAACUGCAACGGUAACUCUAGAGAGUGUCAUCCAGAAACCGGCGUGUGCCAGAACUGCGAUAACUUCACCACUGGGGAUAACUGCGAGUUGUGUCUGCCGGGAUAUGAAGGCGACCCUGCAAACGGCAUUCCGUGUGUUGGGGGAAGCUCACAGUGCAACUGCGACCAACAAGGGGCGAUUUCACCCGAGUGUUACAACGGAAUUUGUCGGUGUAAGACCAACGUGGAAGGCAACCGUUGUAACCGCUGCCGGCCGGGGACUUUCGGUUUAAGUGGCGGCAACAUCCACGGUUGUCAAACCUGCUUCUGCUCCGGAGUGGCCACCGAAUGUGUGGAAGGCAACCUGUUCUACGAACAAAUUCCGAUAUUUAUUGAUGCUGACCGACAUGGAUUUACCCUCACAGACCAGUACCAAACACAGCGCAUCGAUUCCGGCUUCCAAAUUCACACUUCCAUGAACGAAAUCGGCUACACGUUCCGCCCGAGCACUUCAGAGAGAUGGUUUUGGUCGCUUCCGCGCGAAUUCACAGGCAACCAGGUCAAGUCUUACGGCGGCCGACUUGAGUUCACGCAGCGCUUCACCCAACGUCCGCAAGCUGGCUACGUUCCUGACAAGAGCGUCAUUAUCAUCGGCAACGGCAUUACUAUUUAUUGGACGAAUCCGCAAUCGCAAAUUCCCGAUGUCCCAAAUAAAGUGUCAGUUGUUUUGAACCCAAGCUCGAACUGGCAACGACUCGACGGCAACCAGGGUCCCAGGCCGGCCACUCGUGAGGAUAUCAUGACCGUUUUGGCAAAUAUCGACGUUAUCCUCAUCAACGCUCAACCGUCAAGUGAUACCGAAAGUGCCUACAUUAGCGACGUUACUUUAGACACCGCCAUUGAGCAAAACACCUUCAAUCCUCAGAGCCGAGCUAUCGAAGUGGAGAUAUGUAGAUGUCCGACGGGCUAUCAGGGAACGUCUUGCGAGUCCUGCGCUCCAGGAUUUUACAGAGACACCAACGAUUUUAGCACUGGACCGCUUGGGUCGUGUUCACGGUGCCCGUGCAACAAUCACGAGCAAAGCUGCUAUUUAGCGCCGAACAACAGGGUUGUUUGUAAUUGUUUGCCGGGAUAUAUGGGCGAACGGUGUGUGACCGGUGACGGAAAUGUGACCACAACACCUGGACCUGUCUAUUCCACUCCACAUCCGCUCACGAUGGAAAUAACAAUUGUGGCUCCCGUAAUUGAGAUUUACAAAGUUGGUAGCACGGUUAGAUUCAACUGUAGUGCAAGAUCACUGUUGGGUCCUAGACCGAUUAGAGUGACUUGGACCAAGGAUGGUGCUGGACUCCCCGCUCAUGCAAUUGAUGACGGGAGAGGCAUUUUAGUCAUAACAAACCUGAAAGUGUCGGAUUCGGGAAGAUACAUCUGCGAAGCGACCGAUGGUUAUGCCAUUGAAAGCAAAGAUAUCACAGUUACAGUAGGACCAUUAUUGCCAAAAGCGUUGAAUCAGACAGCAUCCCAACUGGAACCACCAAGAGUGGUAAUAACCCCACCGUUUGUGGAUGUCCAAGAAGGUCAGACGGUUCAAAUCCAGUGCGCAGCCACUGGUACACCUGAACCAAUCUUACGCUUGAUAAGACUCGACGGUCAACAACUAAAUCCAGCACACUACUUCCAAAACGGCCUCUUCCGUAUACCUCAAGCACACAAAUCUGACGAAGGACCUUAUCAGUGCAUCGCUACAAAUGCAGCCGGUACUCACACAUCGAACGUAGACAUAUACGUGCGAGAAAACACCGGUGGUCGACCAGUAACUGUGGAAAUAUCACCCCCGUAUUACGAAGGCUCAAGUGGAGAAACUUUCUCGCUGAGAUGCCAAGCCGAUAGAGCAAUUGAUAUCAAAUGGACGAGACAAAACGGUCGCCCCUUACCUUACAGCUUUAUAGUGAAUCGAGACGUUUUAACAGCCACUUCUCCAAGAGCUGAAGAUUCGGGAGUUUAUGUUUGCACGGCCACUUCGGCCACCGGAUACACCGCCACCGGCACCGCCGACGUUACGAUCUACGAAUCGUCUGGCACGUCUCCACCAAGCGCCAAAGUCAGCCCCGAACGUAUCACAAUCUCGCAAGGUUCCUCCACGGAGCUCCGCUGCGACGCCACCGGCUCCCCAACUCCAACCAUCAAAUGGACAAGAGUUGGUUCCGAGCUUCCGCCACAUAUCACGCAAUCCGGUUCGGUUCUCUACAUUCGAAACGCCCAAGUUUCAGAUAGAGGGGUUUACGUUUGUGUUUCCUCUAACAACCUCGGUCUCGCGCAAGCUUCCUCUAUCGUUGAAGUGAACCGUCUCGAAAUCCCGAUCCUGUCAGUCCACCCACAAGCCUCGCAAACGGUCACAGCCGGCAAUAGUGCAAUUCUGGCGUGUCGUGUCGAUGCGGGCAUUCCCGCUCCCACCGUAGUCUGGACGAGGGCAGACGGUCGGCCUUUAAGCCCCAACAUCGAAACAAUGUCUCACGGUACUUUACGAUUCACACAAAUAACUGAAAACGAAGGCGGUGAGUAUAUCUGUACUGCUGAGAACGAAGCUGGGAGAGCGUCAGUGACCGCAAACAUCGAAGUUCAAGUUGCUCCAGAGGUUUGGACGGUGCCGGACGAAGAUGUGAUUAUGAGGAGACGAGAUGAGUUUGUAAGACUUGAGUGUCAUGCUAGGGGAAGUCCCCCACCGUCAUUGCAGUGGAGGAGGUUAUCAGAACCAUACGGAGCUUCCGGACGUUCCGGGCUUCCAGCGGUGGCUGCGCCAAGAAAUGUAGCGAUACUUGAAAUUGCGAGGUUUUCCGCAAGGGACCAAGACUUGUACAUAUGCGAAGCACGGAACCAAGCAGGAGUUGCAGAAAAGCGAGUGCAACUCGCGAUUCAUAGCGUUCCUAGUCGCGGUGAUAUUGUGGGUAACCGAUCACGUGGAGGCGAAGAUGCAACGGGUAACGAAGUUACUCCGCCUGAAGGGGGUUACAGAACCAACGAACGGCGCCCGACGUAUUUACCACCUAGACAACGUCCAUCCCACUCUUACGAUGAAAAAUUCACGGCUCCUGUGGGAACUAGGGCAGAGUUGCGAUGUCAAAUCAACAACAAUUAUGAUUCUGAACCAAUUUAUGUAAACUGGGCUCGAACGGAUAAUUCUUCGUUACCGAACGAUGCAUUUAUCAGAAGUGGGACUCUUUACAUCGACAAUGUCCAGCCCUCCGCCGGCGGUGAAUACCGCUGCUUGGGAACAACUUCCUCAGGGCAAGUGGUCUUCUCGGUUAUCGCCCAUCUGGAAGUUAUCUCACCUCCGAGGAUCACUUUAAUUCCUCCCCGUCAAGUUGUUCGUCCUGGUGACAAUGCUUACAUCCAGUGCAGUGCCACGGGGCAACAGCCCAUAACAAUUCGAUGGGUACCAGUGGGACGCUCGUUUCCUCCCACUGUAAACACCCAAGACGGCCUUAUUCAGUUCAAUAACAUUAAGCUAAGUGACGCUGGACGUUAUCGGUGCACUGCUGUUAACAGUGCUGGGGAAGCUGACGCUGUUGCUGAUGUUAUAGUUGAAGAAAACGUUCAUAAACCUUCCCUAACUGCCGAAAACCGCCAACAAACGGGUCCGGUCGGCUCUACAAUCACACUCCGGUGCAGGGCGCACGACUCCAGCAUUGUCCCCAACAUUCGGUGGUUCCGCGAGCGGUUACCUCUCCCACAAAACUCGCAAGUGCAAGGCGAAGUUCUCACUAUUUACAGUCUGCAACCGCAAGAUGAAGGGCGUUAUUAUUGCGAAAUGGCAACGGACGGCGGAAGUUCCAGCGACUACGUCGACUUGCACGUCACCAGUUCAUGGUCUUGUCGAUCAAACGAGUGGAAAUGUAGAAACAAUGUGUGCAUUCCCGUUUCACAGCACUGUGACACCUACGAUGACUGUGGUGAUAACAGUGAUGAGGACAACUGUGGUCAUAGGAGACGACGGGGGCCUUCCACCGUAACUGUCCCAUCGCCAAGUCUCCACAUAACGCCCGCGGAAAGGACCUACAGAGCCGGAGAACACGUUGAUCUCAACUGCCAAUCGAGUGAACCUGGAGUCAUAACAACGUGGUCAAAACUUGCCGGUUGGUUUGAAAGUAACGUUCAAAGCGCCGGCGGUACUUUGAGAAUACCGUCAGUGCGACCGGAAAAUUCUGGAACGUACCGAUGUGAAGCAACCGGUUACCAAGGCGUAUACCACAAGGAUUACCAAUUGGAAGUUAUAGACCGCGAUUUGAACUUGGACGAACCUCCGCUCGAAAUCAAAACGGCCCCUCAAGGCUCCACUGUUAUAAUGGAAUGUAAAACGGACUUGGAGCCCCCUGUGAGUUACAUGUGGACGAAACAGGGCCGCAGUUUACCAAAUAACGUUGAUGUGCAUAGCCGCUCCAUUCAACUAAACGAAGUCAACAGUAUGGACGCCGGUGUCUACACUUGCACACAAAACAACGGUGAUCGCAAAAUUGACACAACUACGGUGCUCACCGUCACUGGAAUAGUGCCACAUUUCGCCCAAGCACCCACCAGUUACAUCGCGCUCGAAAAUACGGUCGAUUUAUACAUACAAUUCAAUUUCGAAAUUUCGUUUAAACCGCAAAACAGCGACGGUUUGUUACUUUAUAACGGCGAUAAGGGUAGUGACCGAAACGGCGACUUUAUUUCACUUGCGCUCGUGAAUGGCGUUCCCGAGUUUAGGUUUAAUUUAGGUGGUGGUGUUGCGACUGUGACGGCCGAUCGUCCGGUAACGCUCAACGAAUGGCACACCAUUAAAAUCAUAAGAUACCGAAAGAAGGUCACAAUGUUCGUCGAUGGUACGGGACCAUUUAUCGGCAACGCCGAAGGAAAAUACAUCGGUCUCGACCUCUCCGAACAGUUGUAUCUGGGUGGAGUCCCCGAUUUUGACGAAAUUUCCCCCGAAGUUGGAGUUUCGAACGGUUUUGUGGGCUGCAUCAGCCGGUUCAAGAUCGGUUAUAACCACAUAGAUAUCACCAAACAAGCCAAAUCCAAGCACGGAAUCACCACGUGUGAGACUUGCUCGCACGAUAGGUGCAAAAAUAGGGGCGUUUGCCAGGAGGCCUUGUCUCCCGAAGGGUACUCCUGCAUUUGCACCCCGGGCUACAGCGGGCCCAACUGCGAAAAGCUAAAAGGGGAAGCCUGCUCACCUUACACUUGCGGAACCGGCCGAUGCCUGGACAACGACAGCGGCUUCGACUGCCUGUGCCCCAUGGGCCGUGCAGGCCGGCGUUGUGAGCGAGAAAUUUCCGUAAAUGAGCCGGCCUUCAGCAACGGUGCUUACAUCGCAUACCCGGUACCGAAGCUGCAAAGGCGUUUCAAAGCCGCUCUGAAAAUCAAACCGACGGACAACCGCGACGGAAUACUACUGUACUGUGCUGAAACAGACGAAGGGCAUGGCGAUUUCGUCAGUUUAGCCAUCAAAGACCGUCACAUUGAAUUCAACUUCAACGUGGGAGGACGCCCUGUGACCAUCCGCAGCGAGAAAGAGGUGAGACCUGGGGAGUGGCAUGUCCUGACAGCGACAAGGAGCUUAAGCGAGGGACGACUUAUCGUCGAUGGGGAAACGACCUUCGGAACGACACCAGGCAACCACAAAACGCUGAAUUUGCUAACGCGGCUGUAUGUUGGCGGUUAUGACAGCGAAAAUAUUAAGAUUAACGAUAAGGUUGGGGUGCAUUCGGGCUUCAACGGCUGUAUUUCGGAGAUUAAGAUGUCUGGCUUGGAUUUGGAUGUUAUAAAUUCUGCUGAAGAUUCUGCAAAUGUUAUGGAGUGCAGUAGUUUGGAUAACGAGGUCGAUAACAAUGUCGGUGGAUUUGAAUACGUUCAUGAAAAUACACCAACAACUUCGCAACCGUAUAAUAGCAGAAGGACCGGGUGUUCGAGCAACCCCUGCAAGAAUGGUGGGCAGUGCUACCCCCUGUCACCAAUGGAUUACAACUGUAAUUGUUUGAGUGGAUUCAGUGGUAAAGACUGCGAAAUUGAAAUGAAUAUCUGCGAGCAAAAAAUACCAUGUCAGAAUGGAGGCACAUGCAGUGGAAACGCAACAGGAUACGAGUGCAGUUGCCCACUUCUCUUCUCUGGAAAAAAUUGUGAACUCCGUGUUGAAUUAAGAAACGACGCACAUUUUAACGGCAAAGGCUACCUGGAAUUCGACCGCGAUCUCCUCGAUCACAUCAAAGAGAACGAAGACGAACUAAUAGCAGUGGAAUUGUCCACAAAUUCGAGCGACGGUCUGGUCUUUUGGCACGGACAAACGCCCAACGAAGAUGGCCAAGGGAAAAAUUAUAUUUCUCUCGGAGUUGUAAACGGAUACUUGGAGUUCAGUUACGACCUAGGCUCAGGUCCUGCGAUAAUCAGAAACACGCAGAAGAGAGUAGAUGAUGGGCAAAGACACAGUGCCAUUUUGAAACGCAGAGGUCGCGUUGGUUCUAUAGAAAUCGACAAUGCGUACACCCAAACGGGUGAAUCCCCCGGUUUUACAAACACGUUGUCAUGCGCUGGAAACAUAUACCUGGGGGGAGCCCCGAAUAUCGGACUCAUGACUGGAAGGAGGUUUAGCCAUGGCUUUGACGGAUGCGUUCACGCUUUCGAGCUACAAAAUUUGAAAACACUUGAUUUGGGAAUAAGAGCGAUCUCGGGAGUUAAUGUUAAACCAUGCUCUAGAAUACGGUGGAUUCCGUCCUCGUUGAUUUUUGCUGAUUCGGAUCAGUUUGAUGAAAUUGUUGAGCCCCCUCCUGUUAACAUAAUCCAUCCAAAGCCCUCCAGUAUGUCGCAUCAACGUCCCUGUCUUAAUUUCUAUCACGUCAUAUACCUUUGCUGCAUACAAAUACUGCUGACAGACAUUUGACUAAAUGAACUGAUGCAUUUUAUUACGUAAAUAAUCGCAAUAACUUCAUGUGCUAGACAAUAGACUAAUAACGAAACAUAAGUUUGUUCUAAAAUUAUAACAUAUCAAAACAAGUCCAAUUAUAUCUAUUCCAAAAGAUUAUGUUGACUAGGUCGAAUUGUAGAAAUGUUAAAAAUUGUACAUAAAUAAGCAAUUUGAAGGUAAAUAUUUUAUUACCGUUAAUUACAUGAUAUAGACUGACGCUUUUUUAUCCAAUUAUUGCAACCUCUAGUGGAUUGUACAUAUUUAGCUUCGAUGACCUAUAUGACGAAAAUGACCUCGUGAAUUGAGAACGACUACUAGUUUUAAGUUAAGGGCAGUCGAUUUAGUUGUCCAACAAGUGUUCACUUAUUUGUGUUCAUUUUAUUUUAUUCAAGAUCAUUACAAACAGCAAAAUGUUAAUUGGUUAAAAGCACAGUAAAUUAGCAUUUUGCCAACCUUAUUUUAUUCCCCCAAUGGAAUAACUUUCUAUUCUUUUAACUGCCAUUUUUCUGGUCGAUUCUUUUUUUAUACAUAUACUAUAAUCUUUUUUAUAUGAUUUUAUCUUUAAAAAAUUGUGCCAUUUUAGGGAUAGUUUAGUAAGAAAAUAACUGUUGAAGAGCAAUGUAUACUUAAAAGGGUACAUAAAAAUAAGGUCCAAUAUGUAAUUUAUGAAAAAAUCAUCUUUCGACUUUUAGUGUAGUCUUUUAAUUUUUAAUGGUGCUAUUAACAAAUUAUUAUGAAUAAAGGCUUUGUUGAUACAAGUUAUACUCUUCUGUGCUUUCUUUGUCCAUAUGUUGCUUACAUUUUCAUGUUUUGAUUAAUUGUACCAGUCAGUUUUACUUUUUCAAAUGAAAAUGUAUACAAUGUGAUUUUACAAAACGAAACAAAAACGUAUCAGCAAUGGUGAUUAACAAUAAAAUAUAAUUAUAUAUAGUUAUAUAGGCUAAACAUGUUUUAUAAGUGCUUUAAAUUUUUUCUUUCUCUAUAGACUAAAAAGAAAAACACUAAUUAUGUGGAGAAAUUAUAUAUAUAAUAAAUCAAUUGUAUAAAUUGCCUAAAUUCUAAGAAAUAACCGUGAAAUUCGUUUAUUGGAUGGCAUUUAAAGCUCUCCCAUCUUGAGCGUGUUGAAUCUCGUUGAAUAAAUAAAUGCCUUCUAAUAACACGUAUUGUUUGUAAUUAACUAUUUGUUAUAAGUGCAUUUUCAAUAACUGAAGACAAUAAUUAUUGAAUAAAUGUAUGUAAAACUGA